GAUGAACGCUGGCGGCGUGCCUAAUACAUGCAAGUCGAGCGAACAGACGAGGAGCUUGCUCCUCUGACGUUAGCGGCGCACGGGUGAGUAACACGUGGAUAACCUACCUAUAAUUCUGGGAUAACUUCGGGAAACCGGAGCUAAUACCGGAUAAUAUAUUGAACCGCAUGGUUCAAUAGUGAAAGACGGUUUUGCUGUCACUUAUAGAUGGAUCCGCGCCGCAUUAGCUAGUUGGUAAGGUAACGGCUUACCACGGCAACGAUGCGUAGCCGACCGGAGUGGGUGAUCGGCCACACGGGAACUGAGACACGGUCCAGACUCCUACGGGAGGCAGCAGUAGGGAAUCUUCCGCAAUGGGCGAAAGCCUGACGGAGCAACGCCGCGUGAGUGAUGAAGGUCUUCGGAUCGUAAAACUCUGUUAUUAGGGAAGAACAAAUGUGUAAGUAACUAUGCACGCCUUGACGGUACCUAAUCAGAAAGCCACGGCUAACUACGUG
rnacentral:rRNA from 1 species